rnacentral:rRNA from 1 species
GUGUCAGCAGCCGCGGUAAUACGUAGGGGGCAAGCGUUGUCCGGAUUUAUUGGGCGUAAAGAGCGUGUAGGCGGCUUGGCAAGUCCGCUGUGAAAACUCGAGGCUCAACCUCGAGACGUCGGUGGAAACUGCCUCGCUAGAGUCCGGAAGAGGAGAGUGGAAUUCCUGGUGUAGCGGUGAAAUGCGCAGAUAUCAGGAAGAACACCCGUGGCUAAGGCGGCUCUCUAGUACGGUACUGACGCUGAGACGCGAAAGCGUGGGGAGCGAACAGGAUUAGAUACCCUUGUAGUCC